rnacentral:rRNA from 1 species
AUUGAACGCUGGCGGCAGGCUUAACACAUGCAAGUCGGGCGAGUGGCGGACGGGUGAGUAAUGUAUGGGGAUCUGCCUGAUUGCGGGGGAUAACUACUGGAAACGGUAGCUAAUACCGCAUACCAUCAGAUGAACCCAUAUGGGAUUAGCUAGUAGGUGAGGUAACGGCUUACCUAGGCGACGAUCCCUAGCUGGUCUGAGAGGAUGAUCAGCCACACUGGGACUGAGACACGGCCCAGACUCCUACGGGAGGCAGCAGUGGGGAAUGUGGGACAAUGGGCGAAAGCCUGAUGCAGCCAUGCCGCGUGUAUGAAGAAGGCCUUCGGGUUGUAAAGUACUUUCAGUCGGGAGGCGUUACCGGCAGAAGAAGCACCGGCUAACUACGGGCCAGCAGCCGCGGUAAUAC